rnacentral:rRNA from 1 species
GUUAUAUGGUCAAGUGAAGAAGCGCAUACGGUGGAUGCCUUGGCAGUCAGAGGCGAUGAAAGACGUGGUAGCCUGCGAAAAGCUUCGGGGAGUCGGCAAACAGACUUUGAUCCGGAGAUCUCUGAAUGGGGGAACCCACCUAGGAUAACCUAGGUAUCUUGUACUGAAUCCAUAGGUGCAAGAGGCGAACCAGGGGAACUGAAACAUCUAAGUACCCUGAGGAAAAGAAAUCAACCGAGAUUCCCUUAGUAGUGGCGAGCGAACGGGGAUUAGCCCUUAAGCUUCAUUGAUUUUAGCGGAACGCUCUGGAAAGUGCGGCCAUAGUGGGUGAUAGCCCCGUACGCGAAAGGAUCUUUGAAGUGAAAUCGAGUAGGACGGAGCACGAGAAACUUUGUCUGAACAUGGGGGGACCAUCCUCCAAGGCUAAAUACUACUGACUGACCGAUAGUGAACCAGUACCGUGAGGGAAAGGCGAAAAGAACCCCGGAGAGGGGAGUGAAAUAGAACCUGAAACCGUAUGCGUACAAGCAGUGGGAGCCUACUUGUUAGGUGACUGCGUACCUUUUGUAUAAUGGGUCAGCGACUUAUAUUCAGUGGCAAGCUUAACCGUAUAGGGUAGGCGUAGCGAAAGCGAGUCUUAAUAGGGCGUUUAGUCGCUGGGUAUAGACCCGAAACCGGGCGAUCUAUCCAUGAGCAGGUUGAAGGUUAGGUAACACUGACUGGAGGACCGAACCCACUCCCGUUGAAAAGGUAGGGGAUGACUUGUGGAUCGGAGUGAAAGGCUAAUCAAGCUCGGAGAUAGCUGGUUCUCCUCGAAAGCUAUUUAGGUAGCGCCUCAUGUAUCACUCUGGGGGGUAGAGCACUGUUUCGGCUAGGGGGUCAUCCCGACUUACCAAACCGAUGCAAACUCCGAAUACCCAGAAGUGCCGAGCAUGGGAGACACACGGCGGGUGCUAACGUCCGUCGUGAAAAGGGAAACAACCCAGACCGCCAGCUAAGGUCCCAAAGUUGUGGUUAAGUGGUAAACGAUGUGGGAAGGCUUAGACAGCUAGGAGGUUGGCUUAGAAGCAGCCACCCUUUAAAGAAAGCGUAAUAGCUCACUAGUCGAGUCGGCCUGCGCGGAAGAUGUAACGGGGCUCAAACCACACACCGAAGCUGCGGGUGUCACGUAAGUGACGCGGUAGAGGAGCGUUCUGUAAGCCUGUGAAGGUGAGUUGAGAAGCUUGCUGGAGGUAUCAGAAGUGCGAAUGCUGACAUGAGUAACGACAAUGGGUGUGAAAAACACCCACGCCGAAAGACCAAGGGUUCCUGCGCAACGUUAAUCGACGCAGGGUUAGUCGGUUCCUAAGGCGAGGCUGAAAAGCGUAGUCGAUGGGAAACAGGUUAAUAUUCCUGUACUUCUGGUUACUGCGAUGGAGGGACGGAGAAGGCUAGGCCAGCUUGGCGUUGGUUGUCCAAGUUUAAGGUGGUAGGCUGAAAUCUUAGGUAAAUCCGGGGUUUCAAGGCCGAGAGCUGAUGACGAGUCGUCUUUUAGAUGACGAAGUGGUUGAUGCCAUGCUUCCAAGAAAAGCUUCUAAGCUUCAGGUAACCAGGAACCGUACCCCAAACCGACACAGGUGGUCGGGUAGAGAAUACCAAGGCGCUUGAGAGAACUCGGGUGAAGGAACUAGGCAAAAUGGCACCGUAACUUCGGGAGAAGGUGCGCCGGCUAGGGUGAAGGAUUUACUCCGUAAGCUCUGGCUGGUCGAAGAUACCAGGCCGCUGCGACUGUUUAUUAAAAACACAGCACUCUGCAAACACGAAAGUGGACGUAUAGGGUGUGACGCCUGCCCGGUGCCGGAAGGUUAAUUGAUGGGGUUAGCGCAAGCGAAGCUCUUGAUCGAAGCCCCGGUAAACGGCGGCCGUAACUAUAACGGUCCUAAGGUAGCGAAAUUCCUUGUCGGGUAAGUUCCGACCUGCACGAAUGGCGUAACGAUGGCGGCGCUGUCUCCACCCGAGACUCAGUGAAAUUGAAAUCGCUGUGAAGAUGCAGUGUAUCCGCGGCUAGACGGAAAGACCCCGUGAACCUUUACUGUAGCUUUGCACUGGACUUUGAGCCUGCUUGUGUAGGAUAGGUGGGAGGCUUUGAAGCGUGGACGCCAGUUCGCGUGGAGCCAUCCUUGAAAUACCACCCUGGCAUGCUUGAGGUUCUAACUCUGGUCCGUAAUCCGGAUCGAGGACAGUGUAUGGUGGGCAGUUUGACUGGGGCGGUCUCCUCCUAAAGAGUAACGGAGGAGUACGAAGGUGCGCUCAGACCGGUCGGAAAUCGGUCGUAGAGUAUAAAGGCAAAAGCGCGCUUGACUGCGAGACAGACACGUCGAGCAG